rnacentral:rRNA from 1 species
UGGCGAACGGGGUGAGUAACACGUGGGCAACCUGCCCAAAAGAGGGGGAUAACACUUGGAAACAGGUGCUAAUACCGCAUAACCAUAGUUACCGCAUGGUAACUAUGUAAAAGGUGGCUAUGCUACCGCUUUUGGAUGGGCCCGCGACGCAUUAGCUAGUUGGUGGGGUAAAGGCUUACCAAGGCAAUGAUGCGUAGCCGAACUGAGAGGUUGAUCGGCCACAUUGGGACUGAGACACGGCCCAAACUCCUACGGAAGGCAGCAG